rnacentral:rRNA from 1 species
UACGAAGGGGGCUAGCGUUGCUCGGAUUUACUGGGCGUAAAGGGCGCGUAGGCGGUUCGUACAGUCAGACGUGAAAUUCCUGGGCUCAACCUGGGGGCUGCGUUUGAUACGUGCGGACUUGAGUGCGGAAGAGGGUCGUGGAAUUCCCAGUGUAGAGGUGAAAUUCGUAGAUAUUGGGAAGAACACCGGUGGCGAAGGCGGCGACCUGGUCCGAUACUGACGCUGAGGCGCGAAAGCGUGGGGAGCGAACAGG